rnacentral:tRNA from 1 species
CAAAAUAUAGUUUAUAAAAAAUAUUAAUUUUGGAGAUUAAAGAAAUAAAUUUUAUUAUUAUUUUGA